CCUUUUCCGGNUCUUCCGCGCCGUAGCUAACGCAUUAAGUGCCCCGCCUGGGGAGUACGGCCGCAAGGCUAAAACUCAAAGGAAUUGACGGGGGCCCGCACAAGCGGCGGAGCAUGCGGAUUAAUUCGAUGCAACGCGAAGAACCUUACCAAGGCUUGACAUGUGCCGGUCUGCUCCGGAGACGGGGUUUCCUCCCUUGUGGGGGCUGGUUUACAGGUGGUGCAUGGUUGUCGUCAGCUCGUGUCGUGAGAUGUUGGGUUAAGUCCCGCAACGAGCGCAACCCUUGUCUCGUGUUGCCAGCACGUUGUGGUGGGGACUCGCGGGAGACUGCCGGGGUCAACUCGGAGGAAGGUGGGGAUGACGUCAAAUCAUCAUGCCCCUUAUGUCUUGGGCUUCACGCAUGCUACAAUGGCCGGUACAGAGGGCUGCGAUACCGUGAGGUGGAGCGAAUCCCUUAAAGCCGGUCUCAGUUCGGAUCGGUGUCUGCAACUCGACACCGUGAAGUUGGAGUCGCUAGUAAUCGCAGAUCAGCAACGCUGCGGUGAAUACGUUCUCGGGCCUUGUACACACCGCCCGUCACGUCAUGAAAGUCGGCAACACCCGAAGCCCGUGGCCCUACGGGGAGCGGUCGAAGGUGG
rnacentral:rRNA from 1 species